UACAUUUCAUUCUGAUUCUUCUAUGUGCAUAUUUAAUGAAGAGAACUACAAGGGAGUGAAAGUUGCAAGUGCUAAUGAUAGUGCUAAAAUCAUUGAGAAGAUUCACUGUAGCAAAGGCAGAACAGAAAUUGUGACUCUAUGUUUCACCAUGAUGAGGAAAUAGAAACCACGAGUAUCAUUGAUGUUAGAUUGUUUCUUCUAUGUUUCACGAUUGGUGAGGAAAUAGAAACCACGAGUAUUGUUGAUGUUAGAUUGUUCUUUUAUUAAUCUAAAUCUAAAGACUUCAAUUUUCUUCACCUUUUUAUUUAUUUAUGGAGAACUUAUAUUUCAUAUUUGGAUGAGACUUUAGUACUUUUUUAUUUGGUGACUUGUUCCUGAAUAUUUUGGCAGCAGCCGUUUUUCUUUCUAAGCAUAUUCAGAAAAUUUACACUUUUAAGUUUGAUCAUUUCCUGCCAUAGUUCAUCUAAUUGAGUUGGAAAAUGACUAUUCUCUUAGCUUCUCAUAUCAUAGUAUAUUUGAUCAAAGAUAACUGCUUCUUAUACAUGUAUGGCUGAGUUUAUCCAAUAAUUUGAAUUUUCUUUGCAUUAUUUCAUCUUUUUGAAUAAAAAAUUCAAAUAUGCACCAACUUACAUGUUCACGGGCCAUACCAAUCUAGUAUAUAUAUAGACAAUAGAAAAUAUUCCUGUCAUUCUAAAAAUAGUUGUUUUAAUUUACUUGUCCAAUUUAUAAAAUUACAAGAAUUUUUAAUAAUUUUUUCUAUCCUGGAUAUUAAAUAACUACACAAAAUAGUACUCUAGUAGUCAAAUUUAAAGUUUCAAAGCAUUAUUAAUAAUGUUAGUUUAGUAAAAAUACGCAUCAAAAUAACUCUUUUAAAGAGUGACAUAUCAAGAAGGGUCAAGUAAUAUAAAAUGCAUGGAGUAAGAAAGUGGAGAAAGACAAAUAUUCGUAUACGUACAUAUACCCACGCUUAAUGCAUAUCAUAUUGAAAUAACAGUCAUAAAGAUAAUGUUAAAUUUUGUGACAAAUUCUUACAAAUAUUAUUAUUAUACUUAUAAGAACAUUAAAAAAUAUUAUAAACACCUAGAUUUAAAAUAAAUAAUAAAUAAUAUAAAGAGAUAUUAUAUAUAUAUAUAUAUAUAUAUAUAUAUAUUUCUAUUCCAUUUUUUCCUAUACUGUAGUCGUUUAGACUAUUGAGGGAUAGAUUUCCUAGGAUUAUAUAAUAGAGUAAAAUGAGCAAUGCAUAGAAUAAAGAGGGGAGUUUGAUUAUGAUUCAAAAUUGAGAGGAGAGUUUAAUUUUUGAAGUGAAAUUGGAGAUGAAAAAUUCAAACUCUUGCUUUUCACUCAUUUAAUGUGAUUUGUCUUUCUAUAGCAUAUGCUUUCACCAAGAAAAAAUACGGAACUAAGUGUAGUUAAUUAGAUUACUAAACGUUUCCACAGUCUCUUAAUCAGUGCAACUUGAAAACAUAUUGGUUCUGGUCAAAAUCUCAGCCUAAGGCUAACAACUAGAAACAGUGAAUGGUGCCUAGCCUUAUAUAAUGAAUGUAUCAUUAUCUUAGUUCCCUUUAACUUUGUGUUAUGAUCAUACCAAGAUAGAAUCUCUUCAUUGUCUCCAUUAUUCAUCUUAAACGUUGAAAUUGAGACUCGAGACUAUUCAUUUGUUAAAUUUUUUCCUGAAAUAAGGAAUAUUUGUGCAAUAGGUGAAAUCACUCUAAUUUCUGCUUUAUGACUUGCUAAUUUCAGUUUAUUUUGUUGAAUGUGGUUCACUUGCUUUUUGAAGGUACCCUGAACCCUCUCCAUAUAUUGUUUGUUUGAAAUGGAAAAGGUUGGGCUUGGGACUACAACUCCUUCUCAGUUGGAACAAUGAAUUCAGGUGUACUUGUGAUGUCUCCUUCGAUACAAACAUUUGUUUUGGUUAUAUGUUCUCUAAAAGUAUUUAAAUAUGAAUAGUUCUAAUACACAAUGUAUUUAGGUAUUUUGCACAUAUUAUAGAUUCAAGUAUCUAUUGAGCACAUUGAUGGCUAAAUAAAUAGAGAUGAUAUUUAAGGAUUGUUUAGUAAAAGGUAUUAGAGAAAAUAGUGCAUGUAUUAGCUUUGGUACUAUUUAAUACUUUGUAUGGUAGUGUUUGUUUGAUAUCACAUUGUGCAGAUCCUAAAUAAAGAAUCAUUCCCUUUACAAAUGUACUUCAGUUUCUAUAUUCAGAGUCGAUCAAUAAUGAAACCACCUUUGGCACAAAUUUUGAUUACUUUCAAGAUGAAAAGGAGAUAAGAGUGUUGCAAGUUAAUUUGCCCAUCAUAUGACAUGGACUUGAGACUAAAAUUGUUUCCUCUAUCUGGUGUAACAAUAAUUUCAUGGAGAAGAUCAUUUUUGUUCUCUUUAAUGUGUUAUUAGUUGCUAAUUAAACCUUUGCCUUGGAUAUCUACUUAAUUGAGGAAAUAAGAUGUCAUAGUUUAUUUCAUAACAAUAUUUCUUAAAUACAUGGUACUUCCAGGAAUACAUGUUUGGUGCGCAAGACACUUCGAUCUUGGAGUUGAGUAUGAAAGUGAAAGUUAACAAUAUUUGGACUGUCGAGGUUCGCACUUCCCAGUGGCUGUUUUAAUAUUGCUUCUAAAAAUUUUGUACAUUUCAUUCUGAUUCUUCUAUGUGCAUAUUUAAUGAAGAGAACUACAAGGGAGUGAAAGUUGCAAGUGCUAAUGAUAGUGCUAAAAUCAUUGAGAAGAUUCACUGUAGCAAAGGCAGAACAGAAAUUGUGACUCUAUGUUUCACCAUGAUGAGGAAAUAGAAACCACGAGUAUCAUUGAUGUUAGAUUGUUUCUUCUAUGUUUCACGAUUGGUGAGGAAAUAGAAACCACGAGUAUUGUUGAUGUUAGAUUGUUCUUUUAUUAAUCUAAAUCUAAAGACUUCAAUUUUCUUCACCUUUUUAUUUAUUUAUGGAGAACUUAUAUUUCAUAUUUGGAUG
rnacentral:lncRNA from 1 species